rnacentral:rRNA from 1 species
GCCUAUGACCAUAUCACCCUGAAUGCGCCCGAUCUCGUCUGAUCUCGGAAGCUAAACAUUGUCGAGCCUGAUUAUUACUUGGAUGGGAGACUGCCUGGGAAUACCAGGUGUUGUAGGCU